AACGAACGCUGGCGGCAGGCUUAACACAUGCAAGUCGAACGCCCCGCAAGGGGAGUGGCAGACGGGUGAGUAACGCGUGGGAAUCUACCUAGUUCUACGGAACAACAGUUGGAAACGACUGCUAAUACCGUAUACGCCCUACGGGGGAAAGAUUUAUCGGGAUUAGAUGAGCCCGCGUAAGAUUAGCUAGUUGGUGGGGUAAUGGCCUACCAAGGCGACGAUCUUUAGCUGGUCUGAGAGGAUGAUCAGCCACACUGAGACUGAGACACGGCCCAGACUCCUACGGGAGGCAGCAGUGGGGAAUAUUGGACAAUGGGCGCAAGCCUGAUCCAGCCAUGCCGCGUGAGUGAUGAAGGCCUUAGGGUUGUAAAGCUCUUUCACCGAUGAAGAUAAUGACGGUAGUCGGAGAAGAAGCCCCGGCUAACUUCGUGCCAGCCGCCGCAGUAAGAC
rnacentral:rRNA from 1 species